rnacentral:rRNA from 1 species
GACGAACGCUGGCGGCGUGCCUAAUACAUGCAAGUAGAACGCUGAAGGAGGAGCUUGCUCUUCUGGAUGAGUUGCGAACGGGUGAGUAACGCGUAGGUAACCUGCCUGGUAGUGGGGGAUAACUAUUGGAAACGAUAGCUAAUACCGCAUAAUAACAGUUGUUGCAUGACAACUGUUUGAAAGGUGCAAUUGCAUCACUACCAGAUGGACCUGCGUUGUAUUAGCUAGUUGGUGGGGUAACGGCUCACCAAGGCGACGAUACAUAGCCGACCUGAGAGGGUGAUCGGCCACACUGGGACUGAGACACGGCCCAGACUCCUACGGGAGGCAGCAGUAGGGAAUCUUCGGCAAUGGACGAAAGUCUGACCGAGCAACGCCGCGUGAGUGAAGAAGGUUUUCGGAUCGUAAAGCUCUGUUGUAAGAGAAGAACGAGUGUGAGAGUG